rnacentral:misc_RNA from 1 species
GGAUUGAAAAGCUACUCCGCAGGAAUCCCAAAUUUCCCAUAUUGAAUGCCCAAAUUACCCUUGAUGAAUGCCCAAAUUUCUGGCAGUGACGAUGAGAAAUAUCGUAAAUAAAUGCUAACAAUGGACAGAUACCAUGUGAUGAUGAAACCCAGUACACCCUCUUCUUUAAAAUCUUCGCCUAUAAAUAAAAGGCAUUUACAACACUAAGGGUACGGCGGGGACUCGUCUGGUGUCAUUGUCCAGCUUCAGAUGGCUGUAGUGCGAGCGAGGUGGGUCAAGGUAGGUCGUCUCUUUCUCUCUGUUCUGGAAUUCUUCUCGUAAUCGUGAUUUUCGGGAAUUCAAAUUCUUGUUAUUUUCUGUCAGUUUGGUGACUUUCUUGAAUCUUUUUUUAUUUCCAAAACCUCAAAUUCUUGAAAUGGGUUCGGGGUUUUUCAAUUUUGCACGAGAAAUUUAUGGCUAAAUUAUCCUUAGAUUGAUGGUUUUGUUCUCUGCAUGUCUCAGCUUGAUCAGAACGGACCUGGUCCUGGAGCAAGGAGCUCACAUGCAAUUACCCUUGUAGGUCACAAGGCCUAUGCAUUUGGUGGCGAGUUCACGCCUCGUGUCCCCGUUGACAACAACAUUCAUGCCUUUGAUCUCCAGACCCAGACAUGGUCUGUCCUCCAAGUCACCGGUGACAUUCCUCCGCCGCGGGUUGGUGUCACAAUGGCCGCUGUCGACAAAACUAUAUAUGUAUUUGGUGGCAGGGACGCUACACACAAGGAGCUGAACGAGCUCUACUCUUUUGACACAUUUACAAACAAGUGGACUCUACUAUCUACUGGCGACACCGGCCCUGCUCACCGGAGUUACCAUUCAACCGCCUCUGAUGAUCGACACGUGUAUGUCUUUGGCGGUUGUGGUGUUUCGGGUCGAUUAAAUGAUCUGUGGGCUUAUGAUGUGGUGGAAGAGAAAUGGGUCCAGUAUCCAACAGCAGGGGAAAAUUGCAGAGGCAGAGGUGGACCUGGGCUGGCCGUAGCCCAAGGAAAAAUAUGGGUUGUUUAUGGUUUCGCCGGAGAGGAGACGGAUGAUGUGCAUUGCUUUGAUCCGGCGGACGGGAAGUGGGAGCAAGUGGAGAUAAGUGGCGAGAAACCAACGGCUAGAAGUGUAUUUUCAACUGUUGGGAUUGGAAAAUACAUAAUCAUAUAUGGUGGGGAAGUGGAUCCCAGUGACUUGGGGCAUCUGGGUGCCGGGAAGUUCACCAGCGAAGUUUGGGCGCUGGACACGGAGGCUUUAAGGUGGCAGAAGGUGGAUGAUGGGUUGGGGGCAGAGAACCAUCCAGGGCCAAGAGGGUGGUGUGCAUUUGGUUCGGGUAAGUUGAAUGGGAAAGAGGGGCUUUUGGUGUAUGGUGGGAACUCUCCGAGCAAUGAUCGGCUGGAUGAUAUUUUCUUCCUCAGUUGUUGCCUUGAUGCAAAUGAAAACGACUAAAGGAGUAUUUUUGUAAUUAUGAGUGGUUUGUUUAGAGUAUGUGUUUGUCUGUGAGCGUGAGUGAAUAAUAAUUGGGGUUUUUACUAAAAACUCCCUGGGGUUAGACUAAAAUUAUAAGUGUAGCAUUUUUUUUUUUAAUUUAUAAUAAUUUCCUAAGCAAGCUUGUUAUUCGAUUCUUGAUUUCUAUGAUUUCUCCACAUACUGAAUAGGUUUUGUUACUACAACAUAAUGUUCUCUUGAAAGUGAUCGAUUCUUUUCUUUUUUCUUUUUGGUUUUUUGGGUUAAUUCAGAUAGUGUAGUUUGAGUUCGGACAAUGUGGUUUAGUAUUUUGUUAAAUAUAAUUCAUAAGAAGGUUCUGUUUUCAUCAUUUUCAGCAAGAGCAAUUCAUAAGGAGGUUCUUGGUUUUGGGUGUUCCGCACUCCUGACAUUUCAAGGUCUUCCCCUUUUUCCAGGAAAAUAGAGCCAGUCAAGAUUUCAAAGUCUUGCUCCUCAACUGCGAGGAAUUUGCACACUGGAUUCUAAGAAAAACUCUAUAAAUUCAAAGGAUUCACCAAGUCUUAACCACACAAGCUUUUUACUUUCUCUUUUCUCUUCCCCAAGCAUUGUUUUAUAUUGAUUUGUUCUGUCAUGCAGAGGUUUAGAAACAUCAACCUGUACCGUCUUUCCUGUAACACUUCUCUACCAUCAUCUUCUAAAUUCCUUCGUCUUCCAAGGAGGACAUGUCUCUGUACUGUAUCUUCCUGGCUUGGCUUUUCAACAGGUAUGAACGCAAGUUUUUGUUGUAUUUGGUGUUGGCUUGCAUCAGAUUUUUUCGGUCAUUUCAGUGGGAAAAUUGGCAUUCUGCAUAUGGUGUGGUGAAAUUAUUGUCAAAAAAAAAGAAUUGAAAAUAUGUUUUUGUUUUGCACAUGGAAAAGGUAUGGGAACUCGCAUAAUUUGUUCUCCCUUGAAUGUUUGAGAUCAGAAAACCUAUAGGCUAUAGCCCAAAUCUUCUUUUAUUCUUGUGCUCUUCUAUUCUCGCUACAACUCUCUCGAAUUUGAUUUUGUUCAAGAUAAAAAGGCUAAUGGGAAUGGAUUGAUGGGUUAAAUGCAGGCAUACUUCUUCUGGCCUUCCAAUUGCUCUCCAUGACCAGGAGUUGCAGUGACAGUAGUUCAUUCUUGAUCAAGAAUUUUUCUGCUUCAACAGCAUCAUUGACUGUUAAGGCAUGGAUGGAACCUGAAAGUAAAGCUAAGCAGAUUGGAUUACUCAAUGCAACAGAGGAUUUAUAUGAUGGAGUUACUGUAGAUAUGAAAGAGCCUAUGGACUCUAAAGUUUUUAUUUCUUUACUUAGAGCUUCUAUAUCAAAAUGGAGGCAACAGGGGAAGAAGGGUGUUUGGAUCAUUUUACCCAUUGAACUUUCUAGUCUUGUAGAACCUGUGGUUCAGGAAGGAUUCAGGUAUCAUCAUGCUGAAUCGGACUACUUGAUGCUCGUAUAUUGGAUACCCAGUACUCCUGAUACUCUUCCAGAAAAUGCCUCGCACAGAGUGGGAAUUGGGGCUUUCGUAAUGAAUAGUCAUAAAGAGGUAGUGAAAGGUUAUCAUCACUGCAGUCUGAGAUAUUUUUUAAAAUGUUUUGUGAGGUAUAGUAUGAUGCUAGAGAAUCAGUGCUGUCACCACUGUUUCGUGUUUUCGCAAUUUAGAGACCAGUACCCUUUUUUUGCUGUACAAGGGUUAGAUACUUGGAUUGAAUGAUAGACACCUUAUUAUUUUAUUUGUCGAUGUGAUUUUAUAGAUUCCUGCAUGCAAUGUUUGCUAAUAUGCUGCAAUAAGAGAUGAAAUUACCACUACAAUAUAGUAGUUCCUCUAACUUCUUGUUUUGAAGUUAAAUUCUUUUAUUUCUUAGGUACUGGUAGUUAAGGAGAAGAAUGGUGGAUUUAGAGGUACAGACGUAUGGAAAUUACCCACUGGAGUAGUUAAUAAGGUGGGUGCGUUGAUAUGAUGAAAUAUGGUGAUAUCUUCUAUGAAACUUUUCUUAUCAUGAUUUCAAGUGUUCCAUCCACAGGGUGAGGAUAUUUGUACAGCAGCAGUCAGAGAAGUUAAAGAAGAGACAGGUGUGAGUAUAAAUUCAUAGUUCAUAAACUUAGAAAUGGAAAUGAGAAGGUAAAUAUUCUAAAUUCUUACAUGCCUGCCAAGUAAAAUUAAGAUAUUUUGCUUUUAUCUUGUAUCAGAUUGAAACAGAAUUUGGGGAAGUUUUAGCAUUCAGGUAAGAGCUUCGCUUUACAUUAAAAAAAAAAAAGAUUAAUUUAUGUUAAUUAGUCCUUCAUGCAUCCAUCUUUAGAUGCUUGUGUCUUCAUGUUAUAGGCAUACUUGUAGCAUUCUAAGAAUUCAUUUGCAGCGUGUUUCAUCUGUCAUCGGUGUCAUGUUUUUUUUUAACUCUGCUCUUUGUAUUCCAUUUAAAAUUCUCGUCCAUUCAUAAUCACUUCUAUUAUUUGUAAACAGGCAAAGCCACCGAUCAUUCUUUCGCAAAUCAGAUUUAUUUUUCAUUUGCAUGUUACGACCACGCUCCUUCAACAUUCAAAAGCAAGAUUCAGAGGUUGAGGCAGCCCAGGUAGCAUUUCUGAAUAAAUCACUUGCUGAUCAUAAUACUGCAUUAGUCCUUGACAGAUGAAAAAAAUUAUUAUUUCAUUUACUACUACAAUUCCCUACUUUUUUUGCUGUAAUUUUUGAAUAAUAUUUCUUUUAGUUUAGAUUGAAUCCUUCAUCACAAUCAAAUAAAAAUUAGGACUCUUUAUGUUGUAUGAUUGUAAUGUUGGAAGAGUUUGAUAAAUUUGGAGAGAGUGUUGACAUAUUAAAUAUUAAUUUAUUUAAUAUGGGUCUAUAUAAGUUAUUAAAUUGUUUUACACAUCAAAUUGACUAGCCAUUCAAUAUUGCAACCAAACCACUCAUAUUCACCCUUUCAUUUUUGUCUACUUCUGGUGUGGGACGUGAUUCCCAAAAGAAAGAUCAUUAUAUAAUUUGUUUAUUUCUUAUCUUUGUUUUGCUUAGUGGAUGCCAAUUGAGGACUAUGUGAAUCAACCAUAUAACAAAGAACACCAGCUCUUCCAGUACGUAGCAGAAAUAUGCAAAACAAAGUCAGAAGGGAACUAUGUUGGGUUUUCUGCAUUUCCUACAGUCACAGCUUCUGGUAAAAAGACUUACUUGUACUUCAAUAACGGGGAUCUCAGCAAACUUUAAGACCCUUAUCGUAGAAUUUUGCGAGUCUGCUAUGGAGUGUGUUGGUUGAGAUGCUGAAAAGUCAUAUAUAUAUAUAUAUAUUGUUUGCUAUUAUUGUUCAAAUGAUAAAUUACCUGUAAGAACAUGGUUUAAUGUCUGAUUGAGAAACUUUUUUUUUUAAGUGUUAAAAUCGAUACAUUAUAACUAGUUUUGACUUCAUAUACUCGAACACAUAUUUCUCCAGUAUUUAUAUGUGAAUUUUAUGAAGUUUG